rnacentral:misc_RNA from 1 species
CGCACCUUGCGCUCUUUGGUAUUCCGAAGAGCAUGCCUGUUUGAGUGUCAUGUAGACUCACCCCUAAUGGUUUUUCUAUUAGAUGGUGGAUUGGGCGUCUGCCUCGGUUAACCCCUUGGCUCGCCUUAAAUGCAUUAGUAGGCCUUUGGAUGUAAUAAGUUUCAUCUGUGGCUGGCUUAUAACCCCCAUUACUUUUACACUCUGACCUCAAAUCAGGUAGGACUACCCGCUGAACUUAA